ACUCCGUCCCAAUUUAAACACGUAUCUAACUUAAACAUCCGUCCUAUUUAAAAAAAUUUUAUGAUUAGUAUUUUUAUUAUUAUUAGAUGAUAAAACAUGAAUAUUAUUUUAUGCGUAACUUAUAUUUUUCUACUUGUUUUCAAAAACUUUUUAAAUAAAACUAACCAUUAAAGUUGGAUACGGAAACUCGUAGUUACGCUUAAA
rfam:Oryza punctata chromosome 2, whole genome shotgun sequence.